CCUGCCCUCCCCUUCCUUGCCUCUCUCCUCCCCCAACCUCCUUCUUCUCUCUUCUUCCUCCUCCUCCUCCUCCUCCUUUUUUCCUCCUCCUCCUCCUUUCUUCCUCCUCCUCCUCACCUCCCCCCCCUUUGCCUUCUUCUCUUCCUUUCUUUUUUUCCUUCUUCUUUUAAUCGGGGGCUCCUUCUGGACCUGCCGAGACAGAAGGGGGUCUCGUCCGGGGAUGGGGCGGGGUGGGGGGAAGGUCGUGGUGGUGAAGGCGGCGGCGGCGAUGACUCUGGGGCCCCUCUCCCUUCCUCCCUCUCCCUCCCCAUCUCUCCUCUCUGGGGAAUGUAGGUUGUUCGGGAUUCACCGUUACCAGAAAUGAUGUCAUCUCUCCGGAGGAGAAAGGGAAUUCUAAGAGUCUGCUGCUGUAAUGUCAAGUUCUGAAGACCAACGCUCAAGAAAGUAACAGGAAAACCUUUCAUUUUCUGAGCCACAAUCACCACCUCUCCAGGAGCUCAGG
rnacentral:lncRNA from 1 species